UAAUGUACAACAGCAUUGUACAACAUCUCUGUUUCCUUUUGUCGGAGGCAACGAAAUGUCACCAUGCCAUCAUGACUUGCAGCCCAUCAGCUAUAUGCCAGCAUCAUCAAGGGGACAUUGAAGAGGUUUUCCUGUUUUCAUUGAAAGCUGACUUCACAGCUACCACAUUUCAUGGCUACCACAGUUACUACAGGAGCAGACAAUUAUUAAACAGCAGGGAAUGCACCUAUGAGGAAAUGCAUCUCGGAGUUUUUGGGAAGUGGGACAAAGUGAGGCAAACUGCUACUACAGCCAGACUUCCUAAAACCGUCUUCUCAGCCAGUUUCAGUUUGAUCAAUGUGGUUGGCAAGGACCGUACUGAAGUAGGGAUGUGAACUGAAGCCCUAAGCUGGCAUGUACAGUGGUCAACUGACAGCUCUACUCAUUGCCAAAGAGUGCAGCAUUUUCUGAGUUCCACUGAUAUAAUUUCUGAUCUGCGCAAAGCCUGAGAGUGGUGUUCUGUAACUUCUGCCCUCUAUCCGUAAGACCGGUACGCAUUUGAAAGGCUACCCAACAAGGAAAAUUGCAUUAUUAUUUCAAUCUAGAGGUAGAUGGAGUAAAAUGUGAAGCAGGGUUCACUGUUUGUCAAUGCUUGCCUCAAAUGAUAUGGGAUUUGGAUGAAAGAAGCCUUUGGAAAAAUGGAAAUAUUUGGUGAGAUCUUGAGAGUGAAAUUUACAGUGCAAGAAAAUGGCAGGUUAACCUCUUAUCUGCUGACGUGUAACAAACUGCAUGUUCUAUUGUGGUGUAAAAUGUUGCAUAAACACAUGGAAAAAGCACAGCCUCUGCUAUAAAGAACUUACGUCAGGACAGAAGAGCAAAAUGUACAAGUGAAUAGGAAGUGUGUGUGCAGUCAUAUGGCAUCUCCCACUUAUGGCUGAGAGGAAGUGAACAGCACUUGAAGGUACGAAUAUGGUGGUUCUCACCCCAUUACCUGCCACAGUAAACCGAAAACCAGAAAAGAGAGAUGUGGGGAUGGUUGUGUCUUGACAAUCUCUUAUGUUUUUCUUUUAUUAAAAAGAUAUGACUAUUAUGAAGUCAGAGACUACACACAAUGAAAGGGCUGGCUUCUUGUAACAUCCAAAGUAGUUUCAGAAAAUUUACUUCAUUUUGGUAAGGAUAUGCUCAUUUAAAAAAUCUUUUUCCACCACAAAAAAAUGUGGGGACAAAAAGCAGGUAAAUGUUUUUCCUUCACUUUAUUUCUCUUUUUUCCCCACCCUUUCCCCCUCUAUUUCUUGUAUUUUUUGCACAGAAAAAUUCAGAGGUAUUUUUCUACUGAUCUGCAACAGUUCUUAAUGGGCAUAUUUCAAUUCAAAAGUUUUCUUUGACUAAUGAAAACAUUUGCUAAAAUGAAAAAUCAAUUUCUGUUUUGACUGGAAUGACUGAAAAAGGUUCAAUAGGGGGGAAAAAAAGGUGGUAUUGUAACUACAAGAAGAGUAUUCCACACUUAGCGGUGGUGAGAAAGUGCUUACCAAUAAGAAAUGCCUGGAGACAAAUUAGAGGUUUGAAACUAGUAGCACAGUGAAAGGAAAAUGUAGCUGAUAGAAAAAUGAAUAGGCAGAGAAAGAGCUCUCUUUGCAAGGUAUUGAAAGUAACCAGUUGUGGUGAACUUGAUGUUAUUAAGGAGCUGGAAAGAAAGAAGGCUUUUUCAGAAUGAUGUGAGCAUUGUGCUUGUUAUGGAAUGGAGGAGCUAAAGAAAAUAUCCGAAUAAAAAGGCAGAGGAAAUUACAGCUCGGGUUAGGUGUCAGACAGAACUGAAGAAGUUUCUAUAUGACAAAGGUGAGUGACUCUGUAUAAUGUUUACUGUUUCAGAUAGAGAGGAGCUGGACUGGCACAGGUAACCUCAAAUGGAGCAUGCUGUACCAACUCCUGGCUUCAAAUCUAAUUAGUUAUUGAUCUUUUACACAUUUUUGCUGCUGAGUCACAGGCCCUGUCUUGUCAACUCACUUAUACAGAAGAUGUGAAGCUGAGAGAGCAAAUCAGCUUAUCCAUGGCUGGACGUAGACAACAGUACAUAGCAAUGCCAAGGUCAGUAAAAAGCAGUUAAUUUAUUACAUGCACAGCUUUUUACACUGGCUCAUCACUACACAGAAAGAGAUGGCUCCAAAUGCCUGAUACUGUAUGAUUUCUGAUACUAUAUGAUUUUCAGAUAUGAUAAGUGUUAGAUGAAGUUUCAAAACAGAUUGUUAGCAAAUUACCCUGUAAUGUACAGCUGCAUUUUUGUUUUCAUGUGCCACUCAGUUUUCACAGUCUGCCUUGUCCUGAGUUAGGCCUCUGCUGGCUUAAUGUUUCACUGAAAGUGCUUCAACCUUCCAGUGUAACAGCAUAAGUCUGCCCGUCGUAUUAUACUUUGACCCUGGAAAAUAAGCAUCUGAGAUCAGGUUAUUUUGCUAGUCCUGGUACAAAAAGAUGGGCAUUAGGAUGGACACUUGGUGAUGUAAAAUGUGUGUUUUCCCUCCUGGACUCUUACAGUGAAGAGUAUCUCUUACACAGAUGCAUGUGGAGCCACUAUUUGUUUCUGCUUGCAUGACGUACAGUGGAUACUUAGAUGUCUGAAAGCAAGUAACCUUAUAGAUAAACCAUGCUGAGUGUGUACGUGCCAGUCCCCCUGGACUUGCCCUGUUGUGAUCUCAUUAAAGUAUCAUUUAGCUUUCAUUAAAGCAGAAAGUAAAUACAGAAGUGGCUGUCAG